GAAAGCAGUAGCCACGGGAAUACAGAGGAUGCAAGCGUUAUCCGGAAUGAUUGGGUGUAAAGCAUCUGUAGGUGGCUUUUCAAGUCCGCCGUCAAAUCCUAGGGCUCAUCCCUAGACAGGCAGUGGAACCUACCAAGCUGGAGUACGGUGGGGCAGAGGGAAUUUCCGGUGGAGCGGUGAAAUGCGUCGAGAUCGGAAAGAUCACCAACGGCGAAAGCACUCUGCUGGGCCGACACUGACACUGAGAGACGAAAGCUAGGGGAGCAAAUGGGAUUAGAUACCCCGGUAGUCCCUGUCUCUUAUACC
rnacentral:rRNA from 1 species